rnacentral:rRNA from 1 species
GAUGAACGCUGGCGGCGUGCCUAAUACAUGCAAGUCGAGCGAACAGAUGAGGAGCUUGCUCCUCUGACGUUAGCGGCGGACGGGUGAGUAACACGUGGAUAACCUACCUAUAAGACUGGGAUAACUUCGGGAAACCGGAGCUAAUACCGGAUAAUAUAUUGAACCGCAUGGUUCAAUAGUGAAAGACGGCUUUGCUGUCACUUAUAGAUGGAUCCGCGCCGCAUUAGCUAGUUGGUAGGGUCACGGCUUACCAAGGCAACGAUGCGUAGCCGACCUGAGAGGGGGGUAGGCGGCACGGGAAGGGAAACACGGACCAGGCUCCUGCGGGAGGCAGCAGUAGGGAAUGGGACGCAGUGGGCGAGAACCUGACGGAGCAACGGGACGUGAGUGAUGAAAAUCUUGGGAUCGUAAUACUCUGUUAUGGGGGAUGAACAAAUGUGUAAGGAAAUAUGCACGUAUUGACGGUAACUGAUAAGAAAGCAACGGCUAACUACGUG